UUGUCUCGUUUUAUUACGUAGGCAUCUUGUCGAGCUUUUCAAGUCCAAGGUCAAGAUGAGAUACGAUGGAGGCGAACGGGAGGGCCAACAAGAAUCAAGCAUUCAUACAGCUGAGAGGGAAGGAUUUCAAGUGUACUUUCCAACAAAUCAAACGGCACAUGAUUCGGAGCUUGCUAGAGAAAGAUAUCACGAAUUAAAGUUGAAUCCGAUUCGGAUCCGAGCUGCCAGGAGACCCGAAUUUGUUUUAAUCACCCAAGCCGCAUCCGGAGUCCAAAUCAAGCAAACAAGUACUUGUUGCAAAGGUAAUUACAAGACCUUUCCAACGGAUCUGGCCCCAUCAAGAGAUUCGACUCGUGCUGACCAUGACGGACAAAACAAGCUGACGGAUCUGUUUUUCUGUUUCCUAAAGAGUUGUAGUUUGUUAGGAAAGUUAAAGAUAGAAUUGAAUUUCGGCCUCCUUACUCAAGGUGGACGAAAAUAUCUCUCCCUCCUCCUUUAUAUACCCCAUGAGCCCCCCUAAGGAGCUUGGGUUUUGUUUAGAUGAAAUCUGUUGAUGAUUACUACCAUGAGUUCCAAGUUAUAAGAUUGCGGUCUGGUUUAGAUGAAAUCGAACAAAGAAAAAUGGAUAGAUUUUAUUGUGCGCUUAACUUUGAUAUUUCUUACAUAAUUGAAUACGGAAAAUACGACUCUCUAUUGUGUUUGCUUAAUCUUGCUCGUGAAGCGGAGAGGAAAUUGGAGAGAAGGUGUACAAGAAAGGUGUUGAGCCUACAAGGUAAUGAUAAAGAUGAUUGUGUUGCUGAACAAAAUAUGACAUGUGAUGAAAUAAAUGAGAUACCCGUUGAAUUUUCUGCAUCAUGUGAAAUUGUUGAUUUACAUGCUGAUUUGAGUGCACCUACUGCUGAAAUUAAUUCUUCUAAUGAUUUGAGUGCACAUAUUAAUUUUGAUAUUGAUGAGAAUGAAUCAUGUGAGGAAAUAACUAAUGUUUUGAGAGAAACAUGUGAUGUAGAUAAAUUUGGCUUAGGUUGUGUCGAGUUAAUUACACAUGGAGUGAUUGAGAACUAUCCACCUAUUAAUUCUUUGUGUUAUAUUGCACUUGAUAGUCCCAUGUAUUUGUCGCAUGCAAUGGAUAAACUGUGUGAGUUAACAAUUUCGAAAUCUUUUGCUGUUCAUGGAUACACAAUUCAUUUCAUUAGACAACAUGAUGUGAACAAUAACAUUUUGGUGCAUGAGAUUUGCAUUACUUGUGAUAAUUUUCCUCUCUUGGGAGAAAAGAAAUUUUUGCACAUGCUUAAUCAUUUUGAUAGGACCUCCAAUAUAGGUGUUGAUUAUUUUCCAAAUAGUUAUUUACAUGCUUGUUUGAAUAUUAGUGCUUUGACUUGCUCUAAAUUUCAGCAUAUUGUAGUAACUAAUUUGGAUACUAUUCAUUAUUAUUCUCCAAUGUUGGGAUGGUGUAAUGGUGAGCGGUGCAAACCAAAUACAAGAAAUCGUUUCGCUUAUAAAUGCAAACAAUAUUGUCAAUCUUCUUGCUGGAAUGUUAUUUAUCAUGAUUGUUUUACUAAUUAUCUCAUCAGACUUUGUUAUAAAAGAUUAAUUGUGCAAGAAAGGAGAUGUAUAAAGAUGGAUGACAUAUACAUAUACCAUGCACACACUUUGUCUAUUUUGUCAGUCUCUUUACAGCACAAACGACGCCGAGGACGGCUUUCCUUUCAAGAAAGGGAGGAUGAUAUGGACAUGCUAACCAUGGAUACGACCUUUGGUACCCUCAAUUCUAUAAUAUUUGACAAGAUUUAUAAUCAGGUGAAUUCAAGUAGUAAUUGUUUUCAUUGUCAUAUUUAUGAAGAGGCGGAGCUACUACUAUCUUGUCUCGUUUUAUUACGUAGGCAUCUUGUCGAGCUUUUCAAGUCCAAGGUCAAGAUGAGAUACGAUGGAGGCGAACGGGAGGGCCAACAAGAAUCAAGCAUUCAUACAGCUGAGAGGGAAGGAUUUCAAGUGUACUUUCCAACAAAUCAAACGGCACAUGAUUCGGAGGUUGCUAGAGAAAGAUAUCACGAAUUAAAGUUGAAUCCGAUUCGGAUCCGAGCUGCUAGAAGACCCGAAUUUGUUUUAACCACCCAGGCCGCAUCCGGAGUCCAAAUCAAGCAAACAAGUACUUGUUGGAAAGGUAAUUACAAGACCUUUCCAACGGAUCUGGCCCCAUCAAGAGAUUCGACUCGUG
rnacentral:lncRNA from 1 species